UACGUAGGGUGCAAGCGUUAAUCGGAAUUACUGGGCGUAAAGGCGUGCGCAGGCGGUGAUGUAAGACAGAUGUGAAAUCCCCGGCUCAACCUGGGAACUGCAUUUGUGACUGCAUCGCUGGAGUGCGGCAGAGGGGGAUGGAAUUCCGCGUGUAGCAGUGAAAUGCGUAGAUAUGCGGAGGAACACCGAUGGCGAAGGCAAUCCCCUGGGCCUGCACUGACGCUCAUGCACGAAAGCGUGGGGAGCAAACAGG
rnacentral:rRNA from 1 species